rnacentral:rRNA from 1 species
GUCCUAGCCGUAAACGAUGGGCACUAGGUGUGGGGGGCUGACUAACUCCCUCCGUGCCGGCGCUAACGCAUUAAGUGCCCCGCCUGGGGAGUACGGCCGCAAGGCUAAAACUCAAAGGAAUUGACGGGGGCCCGCACAAGCGGCGGAGCAUGUUGCUUAAUUCGAGGCGACGCGAAGAACCUUACCUGGGCUUGACAUAUGGGGAAAAGCCGUAGAGAUACGGUGUCCUUCGGGGCCCCAUACAGGUGGUGCAUGGCUGUCGU